GUCUACGGCCAUGCCACCCUGAACAUGCCCGAACUCAUCUGAUCUCAGAAGCUAAGCAGGUUCAGGCAUAGUUACUACUUGGAUGGGAGACCACUUAGGAAUAACAGUUGCUGUAGUCA
rnacentral:rRNA from 1 species